GGUCUCGUCGACUAAUGGCUAAGUCGUCGCCCUCCGGAAUAGGAAAUAGGCGGAGAUUCCAGGUUCGAGUCCUGGCGGGAUCG